rnacentral:tRNA from 13 species
GACUCGGUGGCGCAUCGGUAGCGCGUCUGACUCCAGAUCCGAAGGCUGCGCGUUCAAAUCACGUCCGGGUCA